UACCCAAGCACAAGGCCAGUCAGAGCCUUUACAGUAGCAACAGUUCGUUUCCUUCCGAGGGUCGCGCCACUCCCCCUCUCUUCACCCAGGGGACCACCACCCCAGGCACAGGAAGAACCGAGGCCCCUCCACCGGCGGUAUCCCAGCUGGGGAAGAAAACACAAUGUCGCUCCUUAUUUCUGCGUACAAAAGGACUUUGCGCCCUCCCUCGAACUGCCGCCGCUGCUGCCCGGGCCGCCUCCUAACUUGCAAGAAGGUGGGCAACGCGCCAUAUUCCAGCGUCCCCCGGUCUACCUGGGUAACAAGCCCACGCCACCCCGGCGGGAGGGAAGCUUCGGAGGCCGCCCGAAGAGCUGCCUCCUCUCCCGCAGAAGACAGCGGCUCCCGCGCCCCGGCCCAGCCAGCCGCGCCGCCCGCGGACCAGACCCGGGAAGGGCCGAGGGGGCGAGCGGGGAGCCGCGGCUCCGGUCCCGCGCAGCCCGCCCACCUCCCGCUCCCGGGCCCGGCGCGCUCUCCCGGGCCUCCCGCUCCCGAGCCCGCGGGAAGGCCGGGCCCGGGCCCCGGGUUCUACGGUGGAGAGUAGGCCGCGGCCCCCAGAGCCUCAGGCGGCGGGGGAGGCCGGAACCCUGGGGCUCUCGGGAGGGCAGCGCCUCCCUCCCGAGCCCGCCAGGACGCCUGGGGCCUACUGCGGCCUGCGCAUCCUCGGGGUGGCGGUUUGACUGGGCCGGGCCGGGGCCCCCCGCCCGAGGCGGGCCGAAUCCGGCAGAGGCCCAGGCCCGGAGCCGGGGGCGGCAGGGUGCAGGCUGCGGGGCGGGCCGGCCGGCCGGCGGGCGGGCGGCGUGUUGCGGCUGCGCCGGGGCUGAAAUAGCUGGAGAUUGCGCGGUAGGGCACUCACCUCAGAGCGGCUGCGCUACCGUGGGCCUGCGCCGUGGAGACUGCGACCGCGCCGGCUCCUCGCAGCCUCCUGCCACCAGCGGCAAUGGCGAGCGCUGCCGCCUCUGCCGCCGCCGCCGCCGCCGAGGAGGGGGAGGGGAGGGAGAGGAGGCACGCACGCGACGCACGGGCUCAGCUUCCCCGCCCGGCGGCCGCCAUGAUGGGGAGGUCGGCGCUGCCUCGGCGGGGCGGGCCCGGAGGGGCUUCUGGGCGAGGGUCCCUGCCGGCCCGUGCGGUCUCCUGGAGGCCACAUUUAGUUUGAAGGGGCUGGAUGGGACCGGAACCUCGGAGGCAACUGGAUUAGUCAAGUGUGGACUCUCGGGAGAGUGGCGCGGGCAGCCCAAGAUGGUUGCUAAUCUGGAAAUAGUAACAUUUCUCGCCCCGCAGCCCCGAGAAUUCUAG
rnacentral:lncRNA from 12 species